rnacentral:rRNA from 1 species
GAUGAACGCUGGCGGCGUGCCUAACACAUGCAAGUCGAGCGAACAGACGAGGAGUUUGCGCGUCUGACGUUAGCCGCGGACGGGUGAGUAACAUGAGUAUAACCCACCUAUCAGACUGGGAUAAUCUCGGGAAAGCGGAUAUAACACCGGAGAAUAUAUUGAACCGCAUGGGUCAAUGGAGAAAGUCGGCUUUGCUGUACCUACUAGAUGCAUACCAGCCGCAUGAGCUAGUUGGGAAGGUAACGGCUUACCAAGGCUACGAUGCGUAGCCGAGCGGAGAGGGUGGUCGGCCACACUGGAACUGAGACGCGGUCCAGGCUCCUACGGGAGGCAGCAGUAGGGAAUCUUCCGCAAUGGGCGAAAGCUUGACGCAGCAACGCCGCGUGAGUGAUGAAGGUCUUCGGAUCGUAAAGCUCUGUUAUUAGGGAAGAACAACUGUGUAAGUAACUAUGCACGUCUUGACGGUACCUAGUCAGAAAGCAACGGCUAACUACGUG